rnacentral:ncRNA from 1 species
UUGAACCGUAUGCAUCCAAAGGUGCACGUACGGUUCCUAAGGGAUGCAAUUUUGUCCUAAGAGAUACAAUUUGUUCUAAUCAACCGACUUUAU